CAGAUAAUGAUUUACUAACUGCAGGAAUCGGGAGGUGUGAAAGAAGAUGGCUUUCUUAACCCCCAUUGUCUCCUUGCUGGAAUGUCCCUUGGCCCGCCCCGCUGCACCUGUGCACACGGUACAGGAUGGCCCAGACAGGGUGAGGGAAGCCAACUUCCCCAACACUUCUGAGCCAACCUCUGGCCAGUCUCAUGUGGCCCCUGGUAGAAACCCACAUUGCCUGCCACCUAUUUAAAUGCUACACACCACAGCCACACAGGCAAACGCUGAACACCUGGAAGGAGAAGAUG
rnacentral:lncRNA from 1 species